GUCAGUUACCUUUCCUGUAAGCAGAAGAGGAUAUUUUCCUCCAGGAAUGAGACACCUUGAAUCUGAGAGCUUGACGAGGCUCCGGACAACUUGGAGGCACCGCUCCUUCAGAGUGUACACUGGAAAUGCAGAAAAGCCAGUCCUCAGCAGCAGGCUCGGGCCUUGGGACAAGGAAUGAGUGAGAGGCUUUGCCAACCACAGCGAUCCCGUUUACUACAGAUGGCGCUCACGCCGGAGGGAAAAGGAGCAAGUACGCAUGCUGUGGCAGAGGGUAACGUGAUGGCCCUGAUGGACAUCUCCUGAUACGCAUGACCUUGUGUAAUAACUUCCCCUUAGGCCCUGGCAACUUCCACUUUCAUGUUCUCCGGAGCCCUGUGCCACUCUGCAGGAGAGACCGCACGAAGAGGACAGGCGCUGAGAGCGCAUGGGAGAGGCCCCACGUCCUGCCGCCCUGCCGGGAGCGAAGCCAGCCACACCAACCACCGCCAGUGAGCAGGAAAACCACCUCGCUGAUCUCAGCCCAGACUGUAGCGUUAUGAAAAAUAAAAAAAGUGGUUGUUAGUCUGCGGUAGCUCUCACACUAGCAACAGAUAACCGAAA